UCGAUGGCUAUGUGGACUAUU
ensembl:piRNA 21ur-3363 ncRNA